rnacentral:rRNA from 1 species
UACGAAGGGGGCUAGCGUUAUUCGGAAUUACUGGGCGUAAAGCGCACGUAGGCGGCUUUGUAAGUCAGAGGUGAAAGCCUGGAGCUCAACUCCAGAACUGCCUUUGAGACUGCAUCGCUUGAAUCCAGGAGAGGUGAGUGGAAUUCCGGGUGUAGCGGUGAAAUGCGUAGAGAUGUGGAGGAACACCGAUGGCGAAGGCAGCCCCCUGGGCCGGGUCCGACGCUGAGGCGCGAAAGCGUGGGGAGCAAACAGG